AGAGUAUUUCCUUCUUUCAGCCUGCUGUUAAAAACAUAGAAAGGCCACUGCAAUAUUCAACUAAAAUCACGUCAAGUUGUUUUUGUUUUUGUUUUUGUUUAAUUGUAUUUUUCAUUUCUUAACACACUACUAAUGGAGGACUUAUUUAAAGCCCAGAAUACUUUAAAGCAGUAUUUAAGGUAAUAUGCUAUGGAGGUACAUUCUCUCUAUUCCAUUGUGCCUCACAUCUACUAAGUAAGAACAUUCAAGAUUUUUUAUAAACAGUAUUUGGACUCACAUAAAUAAAGAUAACCACUGGCUUUUGGUAACUCCUCUGACUACAGAUUAAUCACAUACUAUUCCCUAGGUAUCAGCAACAACUUCUCUUGUGUUUAGUUGAGGGAGCAAAUUCCAGAGCUGGAUCGUCAGUUGAAAGCAGUCAAACAUAUUUCCCCAGAUGGUGCUCCAUCUCCGCUACAGAUAAAACCAUUCUAAGUAAUUUCACUCUGGUGUUGACCUCAUUGUCUGUGGUGGCUUCUGAACAUGUCAUCAAGAUGGGAUCCAGGUUUUCCCAGGAGUCUAGUGAGACAGAAGGCAUACUAUCCAUUGCAGGUUAAAACAAAGAGGCAUUUCCGAUGAGACAUCUUAGAUGUUGAAGUGUUGGGGCUGAAGUAACUCUGCUACUUACAGCAGGUAAGUUGAGAAGUGUCCAUGGGAAGGGUAGGAGGAGAACACCAUUCUGUCUGUUCUUACAACAUCCCUGAUUUUGCUCCCUUCCUUUACACAUCAAAUUCUCAGAAGAGGUUGUAAAGAUAACUAAUGUGUUGGAAAUUACAAUUCCCCAUAGGAAAUUAUCUGUUUCUAUCUAUAAUAAUUGCAUUUUAAAGUUGCACUUUAUGUUGCUGGUAACUUUGCCUAACAUUCUCAUUUGGAAAACAUCUUACAAGAUAUAUAUCUUGGAUAUCUAGAAAAAUUUAAAAUAACUGUUCAUGUAUUUCUGAGACAGUUGUUCAUGUCAAGAGAAAACUCUCUCUGAAACACUAGAGCUCCAUCACGUUAUGUGAUAUUUAGCCAAGGAACAUGGGAAAACAUCAUUUGAAAAUGCUCUGAAGAGACUUUUCUCAGUCACUUUAGGUCUAUAGCCUUUACAUUGGCUGUUCUGUUUCUUAUCUGAGGGUUCAUCCAGGAUCACUGAAGAGUUGCUGGACUUAUCUGAAUGUGACACUACAAGGUUUUCUUUCACCUUUCCACCUUUUGCAGGCUGGAUGAUAUCAAAGGACACCAAUAGUAUGUUUCUCGUGUUCUCUUGAUAUACUGUCUCACAAAGUGACAGGGAAAAGACACAGAAAUGAUAAAACUCUCUGUUGUGAGUGUUAAAAAAAAAAAAAAAAAAAAAAGAGAGAGAGAGAGAGAGAGAGCGAUAAAGGAGAUAUAAAGAUAUAAAGGAGACGGAGAUGGACUGGAAGAAUAAAACUGAUAAAACUGAAUAAGCCA
rnacentral:lncRNA from 1 species